rnacentral:rRNA from 1 species
AACGUAGGAGACAAACGUUAUCCGGAGUUACUGGGCGUAAAGGGCGUGUAGGCGGUUAGUUAAGUCUGGCGUGAAAGCUCUCGGCUAAACCGGGAGAGGUCGUUGGAUACUGGCUGACUAGAGGACGGUAGAGGCGUGUGGAAUUCCGGGUGUAGUGGUGAAAUGCGUAGAGAUCCGGAGGAACACCAGUGGCGAAGGCGACACGCUGGGCCGUACCUGACGCUAAAGCGCGACAGCAUGGGGAGCAAACGGG